AAAUAUAAUUUACCUUUUUUAUUCAUAAGAUACAACUUUCAAAAUAUUUUGGCAAUUAAAUAAUGGAUGUAAGAUUUAAAAUCUGCUAUAGAUUUGUUAUUUGAAUAUUACAACAACAAAUUACAUAGCGAUAGAGUUUAGGUUUUUUUAGCUUUAAGUUUUGAGAUUAUUUUUUAGUGUUUAGGUUGGUAGAGUUUUAGGGUUAGAUGAGAUUUAUGGUUAGGUUAAGGUAGGGUUUUAGGGUUAGGUUUAGGCAGGGUUUAGGGUUAGCAGGGUUUAGUGUGUUAGGUAGGGUUUAGGGUUAGAAAGGGUUUAGGGUUAGGUAGAGUUUUUAGGGUUAGGCAGGGUUUUGGGUUAGGAAAGGUUUAGGGUUAGGUAGGGUUUAGGGUUAAAAAGGGUUUAGGGUAGAUAGGGUAAGGUUAGGUAGGGUUUAGAGUUAGUAGGGCUUAGGGUUAGGUAUGGUUUAGAAGGUAGGGUUUAGGGUUAGAUAGGGUUAGUAGGGUUUAGGGCUAAGUAGGGUUUAGGAUUAGGUAGGGUUUAGGAUUAGGUAGGGUUUAGGGUUAGUGUUAGUAGGGUUUAAAAUUAGGUAGGGUUUAGAAUUAGGCAGGGUUUAGGGUUAGGUCAGUUUUAGGGUUUAGGUUAGGUAGGGUUUAGGGUUAGAAAGGGUUUAGGGUUCGGUAGAGUUUAAAAUUAGGUAGGGUUUAGGGUUAGGUAGGAUUUAGGGUUAGAAAGGGUUUAGGGUUAGUAGGGUUUAAGGUUAGUAGGGUUUAGGGUUAGGUAGGAGUUAGGGCUAGAAAGGGUUCAGGGUUAGAAAGGUUUUAGGUUAGGUAGGGUUUAGGUUUGGUAAGGUUAGUAGGGUUUAGUGUUAUGUAGGGUUAGGGUUAGGUAGGAUUUAAGGUUAGGUAGGGUUUAGGGUUAGGGUUAGGUUUUAAGGUUAGGUAGUGUUUAGGGUUAGGUAGGGUUUAGGGUUAAAUAGGGUUUAGGGUUAGGUAGGGUUUAGGGUUAGUAGGGUUUAGGGUUAGGUAGGGUUUAGGGCUAAAAAGGGUUUAGGGUUAGAAAGAUUUUAGGUUAGGUAGGGCUUAGGUUAGGUAGGGUUAGUAGGGUUUAGGGUUAUGUAGGGUUAGGGUUAGGUAGGAAUUAGGGUUAGGUAGGGUUUAGGGUUAGGUUUUAAGGUUUGGUAGGGUUUAGGGUUAGGUAGGGGUUAGGGUUAAAUAGGGUUUAGGGUUAGGUAGGGUUUACGUUUAGGGUUAGGCAGGUUUACGGUUAGAUAGGUUUAGGGUUUAGGUAGUAGGAAGAGUUUAGGGAUCAGGGUUAGGUUUAUGAAGGGUUUAGGGUUAGAUAAGUGAUAUAUGGUAUUUUAUACAUCUUGUAUAUAUGUUUUUUAAUUGGUUUUCAAGUUUUUAUCGAGUCUUCCUAGUCCUUAUCGAGUCUUCCUAGUCCUUUUCGAGUCAUUACAGGUCUGGAGUUUCAUUGGAUGGGAGAUGGAGCAGCUGGAACAAAAGAGGCAGAAAACAUUGCAAUUUG
rnacentral:lncRNA from 1 species